ACAUGCAAGUCGACUCGAGUCUUCGGACUUGGGUGGCGCACGGGUGAGUAACGCGUAAAGAACUUGCCUCUUAGACCGGGACAACAUCUGGAAACGGAUGCUAAUACCGGAUAUUAUGGUUUUUUCGCAUGGAGGAAUCAUGAAAGCUAGAUGCGCUAAGAGAGAGCUUUGCGUCCCAUUAGCUGGUUGGUGAGGUAACGGCCCACCAAGGCAAUGAUGGGUAGCCGGCCUGAGAGGGUGAACGGCCACAAGGGGACUGAGACACGGCCCUUACUCCUACGGGAGGCAGCAGUGGGGAAUAUUGGACAAUGGACCGCAAGUCUGAUCCAGCAAUUCUGUGUGCACGAUGACGUUUUUCGGAAUGUAAAGUGCUUUCAGUCGGGAAGAAGUCAGUGACGGUACCGACAGAAGAAGCGACGGCUAAAUACGUGCCAGCAGCCGCGGUAAUACGUAUGUCGCAAGCGUUAUCCGGAUUUAUUGGGCGUAAAGCGCGUCUAGGCGGCAAGGAAAGUCUGAUGUGAAAAUGCGGAGCUCAACUCCGUAUGGCGUUGGAAACUGCCUUACUAGAGUACUGGAGAGGUAGGCGGAACUACAAGUGUAGAGGUGAAAUUCGUAGAUAUUUGUAGGAAUGCCGAUGGGGAAGCCAGCCUACUGUACAGAUACUGACGCUAAAGCGCGAAAGCGUGGGUAGCAAACAGG
rnacentral:rRNA from 1 species